AGAACGAACGCUGGCGGCGCGUCUUAAGCAUGCAAGUCGGACGGCAAGGGUUGUGCUUGCACAACUCCUAGAGUGGCGGACUGGUGAGUAACGCGUGGGUGACCUGCCCUCGAGAUGGGGAUAGCCAUUAGAAAUAGUGGAUAAUACCGAAUACGCUCAUGACCCUGUGGGAUAUGAGGAAAACAGGCUACGGCCUGGCUCGAGGAUGGGCCCGCGUCCCAUUAGCUAGUUGGUGAGGUAACGGCCCACCAAGGCGACGAUGGGUAUCCGGCCUGAGAGGGUGUACGGACACAUUGGGACUGAGAUACGGCCCAAACUCCUACGGGAGGCAGCAGCUAAGAAUAUUCCGCAAUGGACGAAAGUCUGACGGAGCGACGCCGCGUGGAUGAAGAAAAAGCCGGAAGGUUGUAAAAUCCUUUUGCUGAUGAAGAAUAAGUGUGGUAGGGAAUGACCGCAUGAUGACAUUAGUCGGUGAAUAAGCCCCGGCUAACUACGUGCCAGCCGCCGC
rnacentral:rRNA from 1 species